CCGCCCCGCCUGCCAGCGUCACGUGCCGGGCGGGCAGCGUGAGGGCGAGGCGCAACGCCCGGCUUCCCGUCCCUCCCUGCGCAUGCGCCGCUCCUCCCUUUAUUUCGCCGCGGCGGGGCGCUGCUCGGCCUUUUCUCCGCCCGCGCACCUUCCUUCGGCGGCGGCCUGAGGGGAGGCGUGGUAGCUCCGCUUCCCGUGCCGAAGGCGCUCGGCUUUUUCCGAUGUUGCUCGGCGCCUCCCCGCCGCGCUCGCGGCGGAAGAUGGCGGCCGGGAUUGGCGGGGCGGCGGCGGCAGUUAUGCAAACGAUGCCGUCGGCAGGCAGCGCCAGAGCCGGCUGAGCGGGGAGGCGACUGGGGCUGCGCCGCCGCCCGCCCUCCGCCUCCCUCUCCUCCUCCUCCUCCUCCUUCUCCCCGGCCCCCGCCUCGCCCCGGCCCGGCAUGGACGUUGGCGCUGCGCGGUGCCGCUGAGCGGGGCCGCCCGGCGCAGACGGGGGGGGUGGGAAAAGAUGUCGGACACCAAGGUGAAAGUGGCCGUCAGGGUCCGGCCCAUGAACAGGAGAGAGCUGGAGCUGAACACCAAGUGCGUGGUGGAGAUGGAGGGCAACCAGACCGUGCUGCACCCGCCGCCUUCCAACAGCAAGCAGGGCGAAAGGUAAACCCCACCGCCGGGGGGGUUGGGGAAGGCGGCGGGCAGCGCGGUGUCCGGGAGGGGAGCGGCGACGGGAGCGGGCGGUGAGGAGAUGGGCUGGGAAACAGCCUGCGAGAACGAGAGAAAAUAAUCCCGAAAUCUGGCGUGUGUAGUCGUGAUGCCCCGCUAAAGAAUACCCCUGGAAGCAAUCCAGAAAUACCAAUGCACCAGACUGUAAAAAUAGAUCGGAACAGGAAAAGAUUUCUUUCCUUUGAGGGAGCGUGGGGAGGUGCGGCGGAGCGGUGCUGGUGUGCGCUUAUCUCUUGGGUUACCUGUUGACAACCCUGCUUGGUUGAGCUGUUAAAUAUUUGUGAUGCCGUGGAGCGUGGGUUCGUUUUCAUGGCUGUAGAGGUGUGUGUUCGUCUGAACAAAUCCUUCCUGUUCGAGAUUUCAUUAAGAAUAUAUUUGAGUUUGGAAUAGCUAUGAAGAAACUAGUAUGAGUCUAUAUAUAUACAUAUAUUUUUUUUUUUGUUCGUUCAAAGGCAAUGUUUCAGUAGUUUUCCAGCAGAAAAGAUCUUGGGCAACAAAGAACUUGAAGGUCCAGAUAUGAAGGCCCCCCUCACAUGAAUCUGAAUACAGGAAUAUAGCUGUGCUCGUGCCGGUUCAACUGAAAUCCAAUUGGUGUAGUUCUUAGGAUCAUCGUUAUAGCUAAUGUGUUGGUCUUGAAAGAGCUGUGCUUGUUUCCCAGCUCUUUUCAAAGAUCUUUGUGUGAUCCCCACAAAAUGGGGAUCUUGGAUUUCUUGAGACUGUUUUGGAAGGUGUGUUUUUGUAAUUGAUUAUUGAGCUGUGUGCGUGUUGUCUGUCACAACACUGCUACAGUCAAAUCCAAUCCACUCACUUUAAAGAGCUAAUACUAUUCUUACA
rnacentral:lncRNA from 1 species